CGGGCGACGGUGUAGGCUUGGCGGUCUUCGGAGCAGGCGCUUGCGUCUGCGCGGGCUUAGCCGCGGCAGAGGGCGCCGUGCCCAGCCCAGAAGCCUUUCGCGCUUGUCCACGCGUGACCAUGUGUAACCAGAUACCCUGCAGAAGGGGGUGGCGACUCAGGGCGUCAGCAACGUUCAAGGUCCCCUUCAGGUACUCCCAGGUGUAGUUAAAGCGCGCAAGAUACUCCAUCCAGCGGGCUUGUCGACGGUACACCAUCCAGAAAUGUUACAGUUUUUACCGUAAACGGUUGGCCCUCCAGGUAACAGCGCCACUCCUUGAGCGCAUGAAGAACCGCCAGAAACUCCUGCUCACCCGUGGUGUAGCGAGUCUCCGGACCUGUGAACUUCUUGCUCGAAAAGGCAAUAGGGCGGCCGUUUUGCAGCAGAACAGCGCCGGACCCUAGCAGCGAGGCGUCAGUCACAACCUCUACGCGGAAUGGCUGGGAGUAAUCAGGGUAAGCAAGCAAGAUAUCAGAAGCAACAGCCUGCUUGAUAGCGUCAAACGCGGCUUGACAGGAGGCUGUCCAAGCAGAAGCCGACGUAAACGCGCCCUUCUUCAACAGUGCCGUGAGCGGCGCAGCCAGAAUUGAGUAACGCUCAAUGAACUUACGGAAGUAGUUGGUCAGCCCCAAA
rnacentral:lncRNA from 1 species